rnacentral:rRNA from 1 species
UACGUAGGGUCCGAGCGUUGUCCGGAAUUACUGGGCGUAAAGAGCUCGUAGGUGGUUUGUCGCGUUGUUCGUGAAAACUCACAGCUUAACUGUGGGCGUGCGGGCGAUACGGGCAGACUUGAGUACUGCAGGGGAGACUGGAAUUCCUGGUGUAGCGGUGGAAUGCGCAGAUAUCAGGAGGAACACCGGUGGCGAAGGCGGAUCUCUGGGCCUUACCUGACGCUGAGGAGCGAAAGCGUGGGGAGCGAACAGG